rnacentral:rRNA from 1 species
GGACUACUGGGGUAUCUAAUCCUGUUUGCUACCCACGCUUUCGUGUCUCAGCGUCAGCUAUGGUCCAGAAAGCCGUCUACACCGCAGGUGUUCCUCCUGAUAUCUACGCAUUUCACCGCUACACCAGGAAUUCCGCUUUCCUCUCCCACGCUCGAGCACUCCAGUUUCCGGCGCACCCUCCCAGUUAAGCCGGGAGAUUUCACACCGAACUUAGAGCACCGCCUACACACUCUUUACGCCCAGUAAUUCCGAACAACGCUCGCUGCCUACGUAUUACCGCGGCUGCUGGCAC